CGAAUUGCGAUAUUUACUGUGAAUUGCAGAAUUCAGUGAAUCAUCGAAUCUUUGAACGCACCUUGCG
rnacentral:rRNA from 1 species